UUUAACUCAAAAUUUCAGCAUUUACUUGUCUCAGUUUUAUCUAAUUCUUGGUAUAUACUAUUGUGUGGUUGUAAGUAAACAUGAAGUUCCAAACCUCAAUAUACUGUUUUCGGAUGUUAAUUUGUUAUCAAAAGAGUGGUCAGAAUUUUUAAGUACAAUUCUUUUGUUUUGCAUGCUGGAAUUGGUAAACAUAAAUGAAAGAUUGACAAAGGCCGAACCUCCCUGUUCAACAUUCCAGGAGGCCAGAGCACUCUGAGGCAUCACCCAAACUAACCCAAACAUACCAACACCAUUGACCAUAUAUCAUGCACAAAACAACAAUGGAGGAACAGUUUAGAAGCAAAGAGAAUGGGACAUCAGCCUAUGUGAGGCCAAGUGGAAGGGGACUAGGUGAGAGUGGCAGGAUGGGACAACAUCAACUUCAAGAAAGGAAGAAGGAAAGCAAAAAGGUGUUCAGUUUAAGUCUGGAUGGGAUUUAGUAAUUGUUAUGUGUUUUGUGAUGUAUUCAGGGAACAAUCCAUAACACCAAAUUCUCUGUAUAUGAAAUUGACAACUGAACAAUGUUAAUAGGUCACAGCUUUUGUUUUUGAUCAGUAGGUACAUGUUCAUGGUGAAACUAAAUUCAGUUAGUUAAAUUUAUGUUUUAAAAUUCAUGUUCAUGAUUAUGCCCAA